AAAACAAAUUAAUCUCUAAUCAAGUCGAUCAUAUAUUGUUUACCUACUUAAUAUUUUUGAGCCAGAAUUGAUAUUAUGACACCUGUAUUCUGUAUGGCUGUUUGCUGGAUUGCGAUGUUAGGAUUUGGUUUAUUUGCAGAACCUAAACCUUGCAAAGAUGAUUGGGCGCUAAUUUUUCAUGCACCAAGUGGAAAUGGCGAAGACGUCUUAAAUACAUGGAAAACCAGACACAACAACUGUGAUAUCGUAUCUGGAAUCUGUCCAUGUUCGAUGAGUGAUGGCUGUCUGCCGCCUAAAGCCAGAAUUGAAACUUACAAAUCACCUUCAAAAACUUUAAGAAGUCCCUUUAUAGAUUACUGGGAUUGCUUGAAUAUCAACAAAGUCAAAUUUGAACUAAACGUUCAGGGGGACACAGUAGCUUUCCUUGAAUUUGAUGGAAGAGAUUCAAACUAUUUAAACUGGAAUCUUAAAUUCAAGUUGGACCGAUUUGGAUAAAAGUGAAACUUACAAUGUUUUUUCCAUCGACACAGAGUCAAUGUUUGGGAGAAACUUCUUCAUCAACAAAAAUAAUGGAGUCUGUCAUGUACGUAGUGGAUGGUUAGUUGUAAAGGAAAAAACUAAUAUAACUAACCUCUGUGAAUGGGAUAAACACACCACGUAUCCCCAAUUCUUGUACAGCCAACAUGGAAAAGUCACCAGGUGGAUCGCUAAGGAAUACGGAAAAGCAGAUGUUCUCAAUGUAUACAUCCAAAAUUGAGUCUUGUUUCUUUUUUUAUAAUCAAUAAAUAUCGUCAGUUAU
rnacentral:misc_RNA from 1 species